ACACCAGUGGGAAAAUAAAAGAAUAUUCUACAUGGGUGGCAUCCACUCAGAGCAGCACCAAGGAGGAAAAGCUGUUCAUGGUUCGAGUACGAAUAAAUUCUUCUGGUUCCAAGAAGUGGCAUUUCAAAACGGAGACCGGAUUCUCUUCUGGAAGCUGUUCCAUUACAGCAAACCACUUUACACCCAUACCACAGCCCGCAAAAUUCUCAGCAAGGAAGUCUCUUGCCAAAUCA
rnacentral:lncRNA from 1 species